rnacentral:lncRNA from 1 species
UGGUUUGCAGGAAAGGGAAAUGAGCACCACAUAUCUCCUGUCGAUCUUAAUCCAUUGGGAAGGGGAAGGUUAUGACCGGGACACGAAGUACGACCUGGAUGUGUUUCCUUAUCAACCUCGGCCCACGGCGUCGACAAGGCACACUGCACCGGCGCCAUUGCCUCCCUUAGCCCGGUGCACUGCUCUUUCACCUCCAUCCAUUCAAGCUGUGCCCAGUACACCCCCCUCAAGGCACACAAAGACGUCUUCAAUGAGAGCAAUGAUGGUUAGCUAAUAGCUACAAUCUUCCUAGAGACACAAUUCUCCCUUCUCCAUUUUGAUUUCUUUGACUUAGGGGGUGUUUGAAUGCACUAGAGCUAAUAGUUAGUGGUUAAAAUUAGUUGGAGACAUCCCAACACGUUAGCUAAUAGUUCAACUAUUAGCUAUUUUUAGUAAAUUAGUUAAUAGUUAGCUAUCUAUUUGUUAGCUAGCUAAUUGCACUAGCAAUUUUUUAGCUAACUAACUAUUAGCUCUAGUGCAUUCAAACACCCCCUUAAUCCAAGCAAAAGCUAGUGCAUGCAAAAAAAGGUAAUGGUCUAAAAACUUCCAUCCCUAUCCCAAACCCACCAAAUUAUAACCAACUCAUAUCUCUACCCCAAAUCCACACUGCACCCAAAAAUCUACCUAGCCCCUAGAGUCAUCACUAGUAAUCUGUUGGGGUGAAGGCAAAGACGCUACCCUUCGCUCGUUGCCUUCGCCAACCUCGCCGCACCAACGGAGACAAAGCGACCGGCAAUUUCCACCCUUCGUCCAACACGCUGCAAGACGAAGGCCUACGACGAGGUCGCCCCGUCUCGCGUCCUCGUCCAACACGAAGGCCCACGAGAGAUUCGGCCCAUUGUAACAGGCCCCGCGCGGCUGUAGUGUAUUACGGGCCCGAUUUGUAAAGACUUUUCUGUAAUGACAGUCUGUAACCCUGCUUCAUGGGAAUAUUCCGGGGAUGACCUAAGCGCCUGAAGGCACAUGCGUCCUUAAUCCAAGACGCUGGGUACUCAGGCACCUAUAAAUACCCCCGCACAGUGCCCUUGAGAGGCCAGAUUAACAGAGCAAUUGCCAUCCCAAGUUGAAACCUUGUUUGUACUCCUCUCGAUCCCCCUGUUGGAUCAUCUUGCCCAGGAGAGCAAGUUCCAACAUAAUCAUUGGGUGAAAGAUCGUAUGACCAACUAAAGCAAAUGACCAAUCUCGAGUUCUUAGCAGUGAUUGUAAGUCGUCCGACUAAACGCGAUUAGUUCCUGGUCGCCAACGUCUAGGCUUUUUGCUGAUAUUACUUGGGCCAAUGUGGAUGAAGUUGCUGGUGCAACGGAGGGUCUAAGGGGCCGUAACUUGCCUUGUGCUGCUUCUACUCGUGCUGCUGCAGUUUCUAACCAUAUUAUUUCUUAUUCUCGGUCUAGAAAGCGACAAAGGGACACAGCCCAACAGUCUGAAGGUGAUGCAGCAGAUGAAAUGGAUGAGGACAAUGAUGACGAAUUUGGAUCUGCUGAAGUUGCUGAUGCAGGCUUCCAUUGGAUGAUGAUUUGGUUUAGAUUAUAGUAUGCUUCAAGCAAGUUGUUUGCUGCAUUUUUGUUCCUGCUCAGUGCUCAUAUCUUUUGUGCUAUUUAUAUGUAAGUAUAACUACUAGUCUAAAAGGUCUAGAACGACCAGGGACCGACUUGGACUUCUUCAACACUUUGAAUCAAUGUA